UUGCAAAGAUGGACAGAUUUUUUAAUACUGAGAAACUUGUAGAAAAAAACUAGAUUUUAAACCCAGAGCAAU
rnacentral:snoRNA from 1 species